rnacentral:rRNA from 1 species
UAGGGAAUCUUCGGCAAUGGGGGCAACCCUGACCGAGCAACGCCGCGUGAGUGAAGAAGGUUUUCGGAUCGUAAAGCUCUGUUGUAAGAGAAGAACGUGUGUGAGAGUGGAAAGUUCACACAGUGACGGUAACUUACCAGAAAGGGACGGCUAACUACGUGCCAGCAGCCGCGGUAAUACGUAGGUCCCGAGCGUUGUCCGGAUUUAUUGGGCGUAAAGCGAGCGCAGGCGGUUUAAUAAGUCUGAAGUUAAAUGCAGUGGCUUAACCAUUGUUCGCUUUGGAAACUGUUAAACUUGAGUGCAGAAGGGGAGAGUGGAAUUCCAUGUGUAGCGGUGAAAUGCGUAGAUAUAUGGAGGAACACCGGUGGCGAAAGCGGCUCUCUGGUCUGUAACUGACGCUGAGGCUCGAAAGCGUGGGGAGCAAACAGG